rnacentral:misc_RNA from 1 species
GAUGAAGAACGUAGUGAAAUGCGAUAAGUAAUGUGAAUUGCAGAAUUCAGUGAAUCAUCGAAUCUUUGAACGCACAUUGCGCCCGCCAGUAUUCUGGCGGGCAUGCCUGUCUGAGCGUCAUUUCAACCCUCAUGCCCCUAGGGCGUGGUGUUGGGGAUCGGCCAAAGCCCGCGAGGGACGGCCGGCCCCUAAAUCUAGUGGCGGACCCGUCGUGGCCUCCUCUGCGAAGUAGUGAUAUGCCGCAUCGGAGAGCGAUGAGCCCCUGCCGUUAAACCCCCAACUUUCCAAGGUUGACCUCAGAUCAGGUAGGAAUACCCGCUGAACUUAAGCAUAUCAAUAAGCGGAGGA